rnacentral:pre_miRNA from 1 species
UCUUAUGAUGAACAAAGAAAGUGGUUUCUUGAGAUGGAAUUUACUCCUAGUGAAGAUGCUGUGAA